rnacentral:rRNA from 1 species
GGCACUGGCGGAAAGCUUACAAAUGCAAGUCGAGCGGUAACAGAAAGUAGCUUGCUACUUUGCUGACGAGCGGCGGACGGGUGAGUAAUGCUUGGGAACAUGCCUUGAGGUGGGGGACAACAGUUGGAAACGACUGCUAAUACCGCAUAAUGUCUACGGACCAAAGGGGGCUUCGGCUCUCGCCUUUAGAUUGGCCCAAGUGGGAUUAGCUAGUUGGUGAGGUAAUGGCUCACCAAGGCAACGAUCCCUAGCUGGUUUGAGAGGAUGAUCAGCCACACUGGAACUGAGACACGGUCCAGACUCCUACGGGAGGCAGCAGUGGGGAAUAUUGCACAAUGGGCGAAAGCCUGAUGCAGCCAUGCCGCGUGUGUGAAGAAGGCCUUCGGGUUGUAAAGCACUUUCAGUCAGGAGGAAAGGGUAUGAGUUAAUACCUCAUAUCUGUGACGUUACUGACAGAAGAAGCACCGGCUAACUCCGUGCCAGCAGCCGCGGUAAUACGGAGGGUGCGAGCGUUAAUCGGAAUUACUGGGCGUAAAGCGUACGCAGGCGGUUUGUUAAGCGAGAUGUGAAAGCCCCGGGCUCAACCUGGGAACUGCAUUUCGAACUGGCAAACUAGAGUGUGAUAGAGGGUGGUAGAAUUUCAGGUGUAGCGGUGAAAUGCGUAGAGAUCUGAAGGAAUACCGAUGGCGAAGGCAGCCACCUGGGUCAACACUGACGCUCAUGUACGAAAGCGUGGGGAGCAAACGGGAUUAGAUACCCCGGUAGUCCACGCCGUAAACGAUGUCUACUAGAAGCUCGGAACCUCGGUUCUGUUUUUCAAAGCUAACGCAUUAAGUAGACCGCCUGGGGAGUACCGCCGCAAGGUUAAAACUCAAAUGAAUUGACGGGGGCCCGCACAAGCGGUGGAGCAUGUGGUUUAAUUCGAUGCAACGCGAAGAACCUUACCUACACUUGACAUACAGAGAAACUUUCUAGAGAUAAGAUUGGUGCCUUCGGGAAC